rnacentral:rRNA from 1 species
UACGAAGGGGGCUAGCGUUGUUCGGAAUUACUGGGCGUAAAGGGCGCGUAGGCGGUGUGUCAAGUCAGGCGUGAAAGCCCCGGGCUCAACCUGGGAACAGCGCAUGAGACUGGCACGCUCGAGUUCGGGAGAGGAUGGCGGAAUUCCCAGUGUAGAGGUGAAAUUCGUAGAUAUUGGGAAGAACACCGAUGGCGAAGGCAGCCAUCUGGACCGACACUGACGCUGAGGCGCGAAAGCGUGGGGAGCAAACAGG